rnacentral:lncRNA from 1 species
AGAGACCUCAACCUCGCUCCUGGCGCGUGGGGUCCCGAAGCAGACUCUUGGCUGGGCCCCACUCCUUCUCCAGCCCGACGCCGCCGCAGCCUCCGCUGAGGCUGAGAGUUGGCGAAACUCACUCACCUGGGGGAACCCGGAUCUGGCAGGAAGAAGGGCCUGGCGGCCGGAGCGUGCUGAUUACAGCAACCUUGGCAGGCAUCCCGACCCGCACCGGGACACCCGACCAGAAAGGCAGGUGUGAGGGCUGCUCCCGCCGACUCGAGCCCGCACUCUCCAGCUCCGCGGCCGCCCUCUUUUGCCCCCAGGUGCCAUUGGUUCGGGGUGUCCCGAGGGCUUACUCCGGCAGACGCCAGGGCUGCAGGUUCGAGACGCUCCGCCUCCUCCCGCCACUUAGAUCCACCAGCACCAGGAAGAACCUUUCCGUUCGGUCUUAGUCUGUGGUCACUGCUGAGGUUUACCGAACUUUCCAAGCAAGGGCCAGCCAGGUCCUUUGCCUCCACCUCAAGCCGCGCCUGCCGCUCGCCUGCGACACCUCUACGCCUGGGAGGUCCCACUCUCCCCUCCCGGCACCGAAACCCCAACUUUUUGUACGCGAUCUCCUUCGCCUAACUGGGUGUCCUGCUACUGUGCCAAAGAGCGCGCGCUUCUUCCCGGGGGCAGCAGUCUCCCAACCUCGCGGCUAAGCCCUUUUCCUCCUGGGAUCAAGUGUGGUGCUGGGUGAGCCCGGACCCGGGGUGCGUUUAAGCGCUCCCAGCGCUCAGCAUUCGCCCUUGCCU